rnacentral:rRNA from 1 species
AGCGCAGACGGUUGAUUAAGUCUGAUGUGAAAGCCCGGAGCUCAACUCCGGAAUGGCAUUGGAAACUGGUUAACUUGAGUGCAGUAGAGGUAAGUGGAACUCCAUGUGUAGCGGUGGAAUGCGUAGAUAUAUGGAGGAACACCAGUGGCGAAGGCGGCUUACUGGACUGUAACUGACGUUGAGGCUCGAAAGUGUGGGUAGCAAACA